rnacentral:rRNA from 1 species
UAGUCGGAGGUGUGUCUCGGACGGUUGGUUCGCCGCUUGUCGGUGUUUAACUGGCCGGUCCGGACGUCCUGCCGGUGGUGCCGCCAGGCGCCGUCAUCCUUCUUUGGUGCUCUUUACCGAGUGCCUUAGUGGGCCGGCACGUUUACUUUGAACAAAUUAGAGUGCUCAAAGCAGGCCGUUGGUCGCCUGAAUACUGUGUGCAUGGAAUAAUGGAAUAGGACCUCGGUUCCAUUUUGUUGGUUUUCAGAACUCGAGGUAAUGAUUAAUAGGGACGGACGGGGGCAUUCGUAUUGCGACGUUAGAGGUGAAAUUCUUGGAUCGUCGCAAGACGAACCGAUGCGAAAGCAUUUGCCAAGAACGUUUUCGUUGAUCAAGAACGAAAGUUAGAGGUUCGAAGGCGAUCAGAUACCGCCCUAGUUCUAACCAUAAACGAUGCCAGCUAGCCAUCCGCCGAAGUUCCUUCUAUGACUCGGCGGGCAGCUUCCGGGAAACCAAAGCUCUUGGGUUCCGGGGGAAGUAU